rnacentral:rRNA from 1 species
GACGAACGCUGGCGGCGUGCUUAACACAUGCAAGUCGAACGAGAUCCAUGUUGUAGCAAUACUUCGGAAGAUCUAGUGGCGAACGGGUGAGGAACACGUGAGGAACCUGCUCCGGACUUCGGGAUAACAGUUGGAAACGAUUGCUAAUACCGAAUACCUCUGCGAAGUGGCAUCACUUUGCAAAGAAAGAAUUUCGGUCCGGGAGGGUCGCGCGGCCUAUCAGCUAGUUGGUGGGGUAACGGCCUACCAAGGCAUCGACGGGUAGCUGGUCUGAGAGGAUGAUCAGCCACACUGGGACUGAGACACGGCCCAGACUCCUACGGGAGGCAGCAGUGGGGAAUAUUGUGCAAUGGGCGAAAGCCUGACACAGCAACGCCGCGUGCGGGAAGAAGGCCUUCGGGUCGUAAACCGCUUUCAGCAGGAACGAAAAUGACGGUACCUGCAGAAGAAGGUGCGGCCAACUACGUGCCAGCAGCCGCCGUAA